GGCCUAUCGAUCCUUUAGACC
rnacentral:snRNA from 1 species